rnacentral:lncRNA from 1 species
UUUAACACUGAGCUACAUCCCAAGCCUUUUUUUUUUUGAGACAGAAUCUCACUAAGUUGCUUGGGGUCUAACUAAGUUUCGAAUCAACUUGUGAUCCUCCUGCCUCAGCCCACAGGUUGCUGGGAUUACAGGCAUGUGCCACCAAACCCAGCAGUAUUUUGAGUUUUUUACAGAAUGUCUCCUAAGAUGGAUAUUUCUUUGUAUGACCUUAACAAUUAAGGAGAUCUACAGGGCGCAGUGGAACACGCCUGUAAUCCUAGCAGCUCAGGAGGCCUAGGCAGGAGGAUGGCAAGUUCAAAGCCAGCCUCAGCAACUUAGCAAGACCCUGUUCUCAAAAUAUAAAGAGUGAUUUGACUUGGGGAUUUGCCUCAGUGGUUAAAUACCCUUGGCUUCAAUCCCUGGUCCAAAAAAGAGAUGGAGAUCUUAAAGUUGAACUGAAAUGCUUUCAAUGUUCACCUGGAUCAUUCAGGUCCUUCGCGAGUCCCGCCAAGAACAAGACCCUCACUAUUUUUUGAAUACGGUACCUCCCUCUGUGUACCUUCUCUUGAUCUUUAUGUCCCAUCACCCACAACUCUAUGAUGCUUUGAACUCAAAGAUGGGCCAUGUGGCUCAUCUGUUGUCUUCUGUGCACUUAGAUGCCAGUCACUCAGACAAUAAUUAUAAUCCUUUCAGUAAUGCUUCAAGCUAUCUAGUACCCCCUCAUAUAGAAGAGGAACUUCAAGUUCAGAAUAAGGCUGCACAGCCAAAGUUGGCCACGUCCAGAUGUGGACUCAAGUAUGCCAAACUGUGAAGCUGAGAUUCUUUGAGAAGCAUCAUGCUGUAUCACUGAACCCAACUCAGAACAUUUGUACAAAGAAAAAUUCUAAAACCUUAUUCAUUGGUAAAAUGAAUGAACUACCUGGAGAAAAUAAGCCUUGUCACUACCCUCCCUUCUUCCUUCCAGUGCUUGAUGAGAAGGGCUCUCAAGCGUGAUGGAGCAGACAAGAAUUAGCUUUCCACAUAUCCACAUGUUACUUUCCACAUAACCUCUUAAGGUUCAGUGGGGGGGGGGAAUAUUGUUAGGUGCUGGGGAGGCUGUUCUCCUAGGGAUACCUGAGUGAGCAAGACAGGGCAAGAGGUCAGAUGGUGGCCAGCAACAAGGACUGCACAGCCAGCCAGCCUUGGGAGGCUGAUGGUAACAGUGCCUUCUGUGCAUAGAACAGUUGGCAGUUCCAGAGCAUUUUCACAUAUGUUGUCUGGAGUCUCACAUCAAUCCUGUAACAAAUGAGGCAAGUAUCUUAAUAGUUGAAAUCUGCACCGAGAAGAUAUCAAUAUAGUAUUACAGCUAAUAAGCAAAGGAGCUGUGUCUUUUGAAUCAUCUACCCUCUGUUUCAUCAUAUACUUGAAGAUCUGAAGUCAGAGUUUGCUGUUGAUAAGGAAUUGUUCAUGUCACUCUGACAUAAUUCCAUGUAACUAUUGUCUCAUAGUAGUGAGACACAAAUAGUAAACUUACUGACUCAUUUACUUUUCUAUUAUAUAGUCAAAAAUUGAAAAUUUAAUUAUCACAUGUAAUUAUCCAGUGUCAACAUUAAGG